rnacentral:rRNA from 1 species
GAUGAACGCUGGCGGCGUGCCUAAUACAUGCAAGUCGAGCGAAUGGAUUAAGAGCUUGCUCUUAUGAAGUUAGCGGCGGACGGGUGAGUAACACGUGGGUAACCCGCCCAUAAGACUGGGACAACUCCGGGAAACCGGGGCUAAUACCGGAUAAUAUUUUGAACUGCAUGGUUCAAAAUUGAAAGGCGGCUUCGGCUGUCACUUAUGGAUGGACCCGCGUCGCAUUAGCUAGUUGGUGAGGUAACGGCUCACCAAGGCAAUGAUGCGUAGCCGACUGGAGAAGGGGAUCGACCACACGGGGACGGAGCCACCGGCCAGACUCCUACGGGAGGAAGCAGUAGGGAGUCUUCCGCAAUGGACGAAAGUCUGACGGAGCAACGCCGCGUGAGUGAUGAAGGCUUUCGGGUCGUAAAACUCUGUUGUUAGGGAAGAACAAGUGCUAGUUGAAUAAGCUGGCACCUUGACGGUACCUAACCAGAAAGCCACGGCUAACUACGUGCCAGCAGCCGCGGUAA